rnacentral:rRNA from 1 species
UACGUAGGGACCAAGCGUUGUUCGGAUUUACUGGGCGUAAAGGGCGCGUAGGCGGCGUGGUAAGUCACUUGUGAAAUCUCUGAGCUUAACUCAGAACGGCCAAGUGAUACUGCUGUGCUAGAGUGCAGAAGGGGCAAUCGGAAUUCUUGGUGUAGCGGUGAAAUGCGUAGAUAUCAAGAGGAACACCUGAGGUGAAGACGGGUUGCUGGGCUGACACUGACGCUGAUGCGCGAAAGCUAGGGGAGCAAACAGG